rnacentral:lncRNA from 1 species
UGAAUUGGAAAGAAGCCCAGAGAUAUUUAUAUGCAUGAUAGAAAGAAACCGUACAAGCAUUUUUGUGAAAAGAAGACAUUGAAUGACUUGUGUAAGUCUACCAAUCUGUGUUGUUAACAAUGGGUAGGAUAAAAAGCAGGCUUUCUUUUAAAGCAUAAGACUUAAAAUGUCUACUAAGGGCUUCAGAGUACUGAUGAAGACCUAUAUUGCUUAUUCUCUAGUUUGAAGUAAGUUCUGUACCACCUGACCAUUUCCUUUGGGUCCAGCCAGGCUUUUCCUCACAGAUAGCCAACAGCUUUGUCAGUCUGCAGAGCUAAGGACUGGCUCCAUUAUUGAAGGGAAUAGAUAGCCAACAGCUUUGUCAAUCUGCAGAGCUAAGGACUGGCUCCAUUAUUGAAGGGAAUAGAUAGCCAACAGCUUUGUAUAUCUGUAGAGCUAAGGACUGGCUUCAUUGUUGAAGGGAAUAGAUAGCCAACAGCUUUGUCUAUCUGCAGAACUAGAGACUGGCUUCAUUGUUGAAGGGAAUAGAUAGCCAACAGCUUUGUAUAUCUGUAGAGCUAAGGACUGGCUCCAUUAUUGAAGGGAAUAGAUAGCCAACAGCUUUGUCAAUCUGCAGAGCUAAGGACUGGCCCCAUUAUUGAAGGGAACAUAAAAGGAAAAAUUAAAACUGAUGAAUUUUCUUUACACCUAGUCUAACAGAUUUCCAGCAGCUCUACUGAUAGAAUUAGACAAUGGUUUUGAUUCCCAUGUCACGGUUCCCAUGAUCUGUGCUGAGUUCCACUCAUUUCUGUCCCAGAGAGCAUGAAAUAUCAGCAGUGAACAUGUCCCACACACCUUGCAUCAUUAGGCGCUUCAGGAGGCAGUUGUAAGCUUUAGAGUGACAGGUGUUAAAUAAGCACUCAGCUGUGCGCUCUACUGAUGUUCUCCUAGCUGGAUGGAGAACAUGCCUAAGUCUCGGGAAAUGUGGUUCAUAGGAAUAAUUCUUUAAACUGCGUUGUGAAUAAUUAGAAGAAAUGGACUGUUUAAAAUUGAAGAGCACCUUAUAUAGGGGAUAUUAUAUGAUUAACAAAAAAUGCUUAGUGAUCUACUGGAGUAGCCGGUGCCAUAGGGAAGUCCUGUGAUGCAAUAAACAAGGAAAACCUGGCAUUUGAAAACAAAGAAGGACGUGUAUUUGAGAUAAAGCUGAGCCCUGGGGAGGGGUGAGGAUAAGAUUUAUAAAAGAAUACUAUGGAAUAGUCUAUCUUCCUUCAUACAAACAGAUCUUAUAGAAAGAAAACCUGAAGGAGGAAGGCCAUUUGUUAAACAAACUUUUCCAUAGACUCUGAACUUGACAAAGAAAACUAAGUAAAACUAACUAAGAGACUCUAAAAAGAAAAGCCAAUGUGAUUUUCAGCUUUAACACUGUCAAGAUGACAUGCUUUCUUUAAAAGAAGCCGGAAUAUCCUUACUAAAUGUGAGAAACUUCUAAAUAUCUGAAUAUGUGCAGGAAUUUUUUUUUUUAGACAAUUGGUUUAACUACCUCCAGGACUCGUUUGAGCAACAGUGGGGAGUUGAUGAAGAAGAACAGACAACAUAGUAGAAAUGUCAGAAAGGGGAGAGCAUAUUUUCUUCAAAGACAGUCAAAAUAUAGUAGAAUUCGUUCCUUCCAGUUCUGUGACUUGCGUUCGCACUUUUACCUUACCACCUAGCACGCAGGGAUGCUUCUGUUAUGCUUCUCUUUCUGCUAGCUGUGAUCUAAGAACAGAAUAAAGUCGCUCGUAGAUCUCAUGCCCAGGAUCCUUUACAGUGCCUCACACAUUGUUGGUACGAAAUAACUGGGGGAAGCAGAUGGUGACAGAAGGAGGGAAGGCAGUUAGCUCAGGGGACAGGAAAUCUAUCCUCGAAACUUGUCGCCAACAUCAUCAUCUUGUGGAGACCACGCUGGCUGUCACCUCCUCCUUUUUAUGUGCUGUGCUCUCUCACUGUCCCAUUGUAGAAGGGACUCGUUUGUUUUGCUGUGAUUCUCCUGGCUAGAUUGUGAGCUCUGUGGGACUAUGGAUCUUUGCUUUAUAUGCUAAUCCAUUUGAGGUACAGGAGAAAUAGUGAGUGCCUAAGUAUAACUAAAAUAUCCAAAAGAGGUUUCGAUGCUGUUAUUAGUGUAUAUUCACGGUAGCAAGUUUAAUAAUGACAUUUUUGUUCUAGUAUACCAUAUACUCAGACUACAUUCACUUUCCAUUAGUCUCUCUUGUCCCUCACUCCCUCUCAUUCUCUCCCCAGGGUCCCUUUUAUGUUUAUCUGAAAAAAAAAAAAACUUUAUGGAGGAAGCAUCAAACACCUUCCAUGUGUAUCUAAAAGGCACAGACUAAGGAUGUGUUAAAGUAUGUUUAUAUUUGUUUUGACUCAAUAAUUAAAUGGAACAGGAAUUUAAAACUACACUUCUGACACAGAUAAUCAAUGUGGAAUUGGCUAUAUACAAGAAUUUUCUAAAGGCAGAGCAGGGGCAUCUGAUUACUGUACAAAGAAUGAGGAGAAAUAAAGGGACAUGUGAUGAAAGAUGUAAGAAAAUAAUGAAGGGACGCAGUUUAGAGCUAAAAGCAAAAUACCUGAAAGAUUAAAGUUCACAUGACCUGACCUGCAGACAUUUUGUAUAAGUAGAGCCACUGUGGUUGUUUGAAUAAGCUUGGCCCAUGGAAAGCCGAAUUAUUAGGAGGUGUGUCCUUGUUAGAGGAAGUGUGUCACUGUGUAGGCGGGCUUUGAGAGCUCCCAGUGCUCAUGCUUAGCCCAACGUAGAAGACUGAGUCUCUUCCUGGCUGCCUUCCGAUCAAGAAGUAGAACUCUUGGCUCCUUCAGUACCAUGUCUGCCUGAACCUUGCCAUGCUUCCAGUCAUGAUGAUAAUGGACUGGACCUCUGAGACUGUAAACUAGACCUAAUUAAAUGUAGUCCCUUAUAAAAGUUGCCUUGGUCAUGGUGACCCUUUGCAGCUAGGAAACCCUAACUAUGACAGCUAUGAAAAAUAAGGGCCCACACUCUUUGUUUUGUAAACAGAGGAAAAGGCAUGAGGUUGGCAUGGUGGGGAUGUGGGGGGGGGUGUAUAAUUUGAAUCCAUUGUAUGAAAAUUUUUUCAAUAAAAAGUUCUC